GGGACAAAGAGACAAAUAAAACAAUCACAAACCCGCCUCUUAAACCUACAGCCUUCUGCGACUUGAACAUUUCUUCGCCUCGGACCCCAGAGGACUCCGCCAAGGCCGUUCCCGGCGACCCAUUUCCUCUCGACGGUGCUCGAGCCAGCCGAGCCCUCAGGAUUCAGCAACUCUCUCUUUGGGAAAUGGAUUCCCUUUGGGUGUUAUACCUUCCUAAUCCCCCACUUCUAACAGGGACUUGGGUUCUUUCUCUCUCCAGUCCCUCUUGCUCAGACCAGCUACCUCUAACUGUUCCGCCCGAAGAAACUUUUUCUUCUAUUAAAGCUGAAUUUACUAAUGACGAGAUGGAGGUCUCUACAUUCAAAGAUGUGGUGAAGCAUGUCAUGGACAAGUCACUUUAUUCAUUUGGAUUAUGCGCACAGCUUCUUUUGUCUCCGUCAUCAUCCAUACAGUUGAGCACAGAAGGGAAUGGUGAGAAAAAAAGUAAAUUGAUGCUCUUUCACAAGGCACACAUUUGCUUUCCUAGUUUUGACCUUUAAUCAAAUUGUUUAAACAGUCAGAAUUCAUGUUAUCUUUUGUUUUCCAGGUUCGUGAAGCGAGUUUGAGUGAUUUAUGGGUGUAGGUGGAUGAUAUGUUUACUGAUUGCAGUUGUUAGAUUUAAUGUUCUUCCUGGGGUUUGUUCAUGCCAGGUUGAUCCGUUGUAGUAUCAUCGUACUGCGUUUUUUUAUCUUUCAUACGACAAAUUUCUCAUAUAGGAAUUAAAGUUAAACAUAUGUAAUUCUAGGGAUGUAUCUACAUGAGCUAUUAAUCACUUGAACAUAUACCAGAAUCAGUGAGCAUGUAUAAUCUUAAAAGUAUUAUUCCUAAUUUCUUAAUUGUUGAAAAAUAAGGCCUUGUUUGGUCUCUAGGAUUGGAAUGGAAUGGAUAAACUACUGUAUUCAAUGUAUAUUAAAGAUAAAGGUGAAUGAGUUUUCAUAUUGAGGGGAUUAGAAGGGGGAUAAGACAUGAUGGAAAAUAAUCCCUUCUGAUCCUUACCAUUUUGGAAGAUUGGAAUGGAAAAUAAUCCAUCUCCUACCUUCAAGUAACCCACAUUUUUUUCAUUUCUUUCGUCAACAUACCUUGAAUAUAGUGGGUUGUCCAUUUCAAUCCAAUCUUAGAGACCAAAUGAGGCCACAAUUUUUUCAAUUCUUUCCUGAACAUACCUUGGAUAUAGGUCAUAUUUAUCACAUGCUUCAGACGGCUUAAUUUACAAGUUUCUUAUGUUUACCACCUUUAAAUAUAGGUUACAUGGCUAGACAACAUUGCACAUAUGCACUGCACCGAACAUAGAUAAAAGUGGAAAGUUUCAUGUCUGCAAAUUAAGAGCCAUGUACUGAAAAAGUUAAUGUCUGUACCUUUAACAUUGCACAUGUGCUCCCUAAGCUGUGUUAGUGAAAAAGUUCAUGUCUGUACCUUUAUUUCCUUCAUUUAUCUUCAUGUUUAAAUUAUGAGCUUUAUUACCAUGAUAUUACACUUGAGGCUGCAUGGCCUGAACUGUUCGUUGACCAUAAAGGAAAAUACUGGGAUUUGCCUGAGUCAAUGUCCUUAGAUAUGUCAUCACUUGUUUCCGGUUCUGGAUUGUGGUACCGCAUUGGUCUACCUAAAAACAUCCAGGCAGUUAAUUCCGUAGAUGGUGAGGCACCUACUUCUCUAAUGCCUGGAUUCUGCGCAAAGGCUGCCUUUUCUUAUGAAAAAAGCCAAGAUCUGUGGAGGCAAAAUGAGACACGAAAAGACAUCAUGAUACAGAAAGAAAAGGGUUGGUUUUGGCGGCCAUCUUAUGAUGUGCGUCAUAAAGAACCUCAUUCUUCAGUAUCUGGAAUUUUUGGUAAUUUUACACAUUACUCAUAUUUUCUGUGAUAACUUGUAUUAUCUCAUUACAUUUUUGUUGGAAGUUUUAUACCAAUACUCAGGUGCAAUAUCGUAUAACUUUUUAGCUUAUACAUUUGCCUGUUUUUAUACAUGUAUACAUGUUUUGGUACCUCUUAGUUUCACUUAUAUUGUAUGUGUAGUAGUUUUCUACUUUAAUAUUAAACCCAGCAUAUGUAAUGAGUAUGUCACCUCGUUUCAUCUGUUCCGUGGUUGUAGGUAGAUGUGCCUGCAGUAAAAAAAACCAUCAUAAAUAAUAGUAAUAAAAUAUAAUUCUAGAGACAAAAGUUCUAACAGAACAAUCCAAUAUUUUUGUUUUGUGUUUAUUAGUCCAGGUCUGUUGCCGACAGUGUGCAAUCUCUUAAGGAUUUUACCUUUACUAUUUCCUGAUGUUUGCACCACAGAAGACCAGAUACGGAAUUCUAUAAUUGUAAAAAUUAAUGGGUAGUCAACCUAGUCAUUGUUAGUGAUAUAGUUCCCUUUUAUUUGCAAAAUGAAAUUGUAAUGCCAUUUCUCACUUUUCUUCUGGUCAAUGGUGGCAUUACAUUUUUGGUAGAAGCUGCACUGCCUGGUUUCAGGAUGGGUACAACCCAGUGGCAGUUGAUAUGAAGGGAGACGAGGACAAUUCUAGGAGCAAUAAGAAGAGAAAUCCAUUCAGUGCUGAUUUUCGGCUCUCUCUGCUGUACUUUCCAGCACGGGAAAUUUAGAGAGCUCUAUGGUGAUCUAACCAGGAUUGAUUCUCGUCUGGAUAUUUGUUCAGCUUCAGCUUUGGCUAAAAGGUUUAUUAAUGGUUUGAAGAGUUCCUCUGCUAAUAGUGCAAAAGAUCCGAUGUCCUCCCCUAGGAUCAAUCUAAUCUUUCAGCAGCAGAUUUAUGGGCCAAUUGUCUUUAGAGCGGAUUCCAGGGUUGCACUUGACUGCGUUAGUAUCGUGUCACAUCCACUUGAAGGCUGAAGAGAGUUUGAGUAGCAAAGCAUGGAGAUAAAAUUGCCUACUAGUUGAUGAGUUUUAAGUCUUUCUGUCCUCAUUUGUCCUGACUUGGGAAGGAGCCCGAGGAUUUUCCUACGUCCAUGUGUACAUUUUAUUUGUUUAUGAUGUAGGAUAUUUCAUAUGAUGCGGACGUGAAAAUUAAUUUGAGAAUCGAAAUUAACAUUAAAUUUAUAAAUUGGAACCUAUUCACCUCC